GAUGAAGAACGCAGCGAAAUGCGAUAAGUAAUGUGAAUUGCAGAAUUCAGUGGAUCAUCGAAUCUUUGAACGCACAUUGCGCCCGCCAGUAUUCUGGCGGGCAUGCCUGUUCGAGCGUCAUUUCAACCAUCAAGCCCCAGGCUUGUGUUGGGGACCUGCGGCUGCCGCAGGCCCUGAAAACCAGUGGCGGGCUCGCUGUCACACCGGGCGUAGUAGAUUUUAUCUCGCUCAGGGCGUGCUGCGGGUUCCGGCCGUUAAAAAGCCUUUUUUACCCAAGGUUGACCUCGGAUCAGGUAGGAAGACCCGCUGAACUUAAGCAUAUCAAUAAGCGGAGGA
rnacentral:misc_RNA from 1 species